AUUGAACGCUGGCGGCAGGCCUAACACAUGUAAGUCGAACGAGUGGCGGACGGGUGAGUAAUGUCUGGGCAACUGCCCGUUGGGGGGGGAUAACUACUGGAAACAGUAGCUAAUACCGCAUACCAUCGGAUGUGCCCAGAUGGGAUUAGCUAGUAGGUGGGGUAACGGCUAACCUGGGCGAGGAUCCCUAGCUGGUCCGAGGGGAUGACCGCCCAAACGGGACCUGAGACACGGCCCAGACCCCGAGGGGAGGAAGCAGUGGGGAAUAUUGGACAAGGGGCGAAAGCCGGAGGCAGCCAGGCGGCGUGGAUGAAGAAGGCCUUGGGGUUGUAAAGUACUUUCAGCGAGGAGGCGGUACUCGCAGAAGAAGCACCGGCUAACUCCGUGCCAGCAGCCGCGGUAAUAC
rnacentral:rRNA from 1 species